rnacentral:rRNA from 1 species
UCGAGGAUCUUCGGCAAUGGGCGCAAGCCUGACCGAGCGACGCCGCGUGCGCGAUGAAGGCCUUCGGGUUGUAAAGCGCUGUCGAGGGGGAGGAAAGGGCAACCCUGACCUAUCCCUGGAGGAAGCACGGGCUAAGUUCGUGCCAGCAGCCGCGGUAAGACGAACCGUGCGAACGUUGUUCGGAAUCACUGGGCUUAAAGGGCGCGUAGGCGGGUCAUCAAGUCCGGGGUGAAAGCCCCCAGCUUAACUGGGGAAGGGCCUUGGAUACUGAUGGUCUGGAGGGGGGUAGGGGCAGUGGGAACUUCCGGUGGAGCGGUGAAAUGCGUUGAUAUCGGAAGGAACGCCGGUGGCGAAAGCGCACUGCUGGACCUUUUCUGACGCUGAGGCGCGAAAGCCAGGGGAGCAAACGGGAUUAGAUACCCCCGUAGUCC